rnacentral:antisense_RNA from 1 species
GGAAAUUGAUCUAAAUAAUCUAAAGAAUUAAAUAGGAAAUUUGAUUAAAAUGUUUUUGUUGAUAAGAAAUGAAUUGAUUAAAAAAACAAUGAGAAUGAAAUGAAAUAUUUUCUUUUUUCAUCUAAAAAAAAAAAGUAUUACAAAAAAGAUCAAUAUAAUCCUAAGUAAAGAUCAAACAAACUUGCUCUUGAUAAUCUCUCUAUUUCACUCUUUGUAAGCCCCUUUUUAUUAAGGAGAGAGAGACAAAAUGGCUUCAACCACAUCAUUAUUAUUAGAUUUAAGUGCCUUAACAGCCUUUGCUCUCGAGCAUCCUGUCUGAUUAAUUACCAAAUCAAUAUUGGCAGAAUCUACUCCAGUUUCAUCAACAUCUUCUUCAUCAGCAGCAUCGUCUUUACUACUGGAAGUGGUAGGAUUAUUUUUUGAUGCAUCAUCAUCUUGUGUCUUCAUAGCAGCAAGCUUUUGCUCUAAUUGUGAAGUAGCAUUUGCCAAGGCAGCAGCUUGGGAUGCUGUGUUACGAUCCUCUAAUUUUGCAUCUCCAAAUACAAUGUAACUCUUUGUUCCUGGGACACAGUAUACCUCAGGAUUAACAAUUUGAAAAGAGAGACCUCUAGCUCCUCUCACAACAACCUUCUCAAAGUCUGGCAAUGGUUUAAGCCCCAAUUUUUGAACCAACUUUCUAUUUUUCUUUUCACCCUUGUUAUGUCUUGGACGAACACCCUCGGUCUUUCCUGAGUUUAAGUCUUCAUCUUCUGAUGACUCUCCACUGCUAAUUUGGUCAUCAUGUAUCUCCACAAUCUUUGGUUCCUGUUCUCCUACCAUUUUUUGCUUAUAUAUAUAUAUUUUAUUAUUUCUGCC